GGCGCUGUGGCUCAAGUGGUAGAGCACUUGCCUUGAGCGCAGGGACAGCGCCC
rnacentral:tRNA from 1 species